UACAGAGGGGGCAAGCGUUAUUCGGAAUUAUUGGGCGUAAAGGGCGCGUAGGCGGCUAUUCAAGUGGCGGGUGAAAUCCCUCGGCUUAACCGAGGAACUGCCUGCCAGACUGGAUGGCUUGAGACCGGGAGAGGAUGGUGGAAUUCCCAGUGUAGAGGUGAAAUGCGCAGAUAUCAGGAAGAACACCCGUGGCUAAGGCGGCUCUCUAGUACGGUACUGACGCUGAGACGCGAAAGCGUGGGGAGCGAACAGG
rnacentral:rRNA from 1 species